rnacentral:rRNA from 1 species
GGUUUUUAGAAAAGAUUAAAAGUCAGGCCUGCUCAAUGAUAAUUAAAUAGCCGCAGUAUUAUGACUGUGCAAAGGUAGCAUAAUAAUUUGUCUUUUAAUUUGAGACUGGAAUGAAUGGCUAGACCAAGUGAUCUUGUCUUUGGAUUAUAUUUUGAACUUUAUAUUUUAGUAAAAAAGCUAAAAUUUAUUUCAGGGACGAGAAGACCCUGUCAAACUUUACAAAUUAAUCCUUUCCUCUUAGAAUGGACCAGAUUUGUUAUGCUGGGGCAGCAAAUAAGGAAAUUUUAUUUAUUUAUUAUGAAUUUUCUUCUAGAAAAAUCGGGAAUUUCCCAAAUAAAAAUAAGUUACUGCAGGGAUAACAGCGUUAUUCUUUUUUAGAGUUCCUAUCGAUAUAAGAGUUUGCGACCUCGAUGUUGGAUUAAAAUACCUUUUUCGCGCAAUAGUGAGGUAAGGAAGUCUGUUCGACUUUUAAAAUUUUCCA